AAUUGGAGGGCAAGCUCUGGUGCCAGCAGCCGCGGUAAUUCCAGCUCCAAUAGCGUAUAUUAAAGUUGUUGCAGUUAAAAAGCUCGUAGUUGAAUUUCGGGAUCAAUAUUUCGGUCAUGCCGUUGGUAUGCACUGUUAUCAUUGAUUUCUCACCUUCUAAAGAACCAUAAUGCCAUUAAUUUGGUGUUACGGGGAAUUAGGACUGUUACCUUGAAAAAAUUAGAGUGUUUAAAGCAGGCUCACGCUUGAAUACAUUAGCAUGGAAUAAUGAAAUAGGACAUCCGAUUCUAUUUUGUUGGUUUCUAGGAUCGAUGUAAUGAUUAAUAGGGAUAGUUGGGGGCAUUAGUAUUCAAUUGUCAGAGGUGAAGUUCUUGGAUUUAUUGAAGACUAACUACUGCGAAAGCAUUUGCCAAGGAUGUUUUCAUUAAUCAAGAACGAAAGUUAGGGGAUCGAAGACGAUCAGAUACCGUCGUAGUCUUAACCAUAAACUAUGCCGACUAGGGAUCGGAUGAUGUUAAUUUUUUAAUGACUCAUUCGGCGCCUUACGGGAAACCAAAGUGU
rnacentral:rRNA from 1 species